UACGGAGGGUGCGAGCGUUGCUCGGAAUCACUGGGCGUAAAGCGUACGCAGGCGGCUCGUUAAGUCGGGUGUGAAAGCCCGGGGCUCAACCCCGGAAUUGCGCCCGAUACUGGCGAGCUUGAGUACGGGAGAGGGAUAGCGGAAUUCCUGGUGUAGAGGUGAAAUUCGUAGAUAUCAGGAGGAACACCAGUGGCGAAAGGGGCUUCCUGGCCCGAUACUGACUCUCAUGUACGAAAGCGUGGGGAGCAAACAGG
rnacentral:rRNA from 1 species